CAAUAGCGUAUAUUAAAGUUGUUGCAGUUAAAAAGCUCGUAGUUGGAUUUCUGGUAGGAGCGACCGUGCCGAACUUGAUUGUUCGAGUAUUGUGUUGUCUUCAGCCAUCCUCGUGGAGAACUUUUCUAACAUUAACUUGUUGGGAUUGGGACCCGCGUCGUUUACUGUGAAAAAAUUAGAGUGUUUAAAGCAGGCAUUAGCUUGAAUACAUUAGCAUGGAAUAAUAAGAUAGGACUUAGGUACUAUUUUGUUGGUUUGCAUACCAAAUUAAUGAUCAACAGGAACAGUUUGAGGAUAUUCGUAUGAACAUGUCAGAGGUGAAAUUCUUGGAUUUUGAUCAGACGAACUACUGCGAAAGCAUUUAUCAAGGAUGUUUUCAUUAA
rnacentral:rRNA from 1 species